UACGUAGGGCGCAAGCGUUAUCCGGAAUUAUUGGGCGUAAAGAGCUCGUAGGUGGCUUGUCACGUCGGGUGUGAAAGCUUGGGGCUUAACUCCAGGUCUGCAUUCGAUACGGGCUGGCUAGAGGUAGGUAGGGGAGAACGGAAUUCCUGGUGUAGCGGUGAAAUGCGCAGAUAUCAGGAGGAACACCGGUGGCGAAGGCGGCUCUCUGGGACGGUACUGACGCUGAGACGCGAAAGCGUGGGGAGCGAACAGG
rnacentral:rRNA from 1 species